AUUUUCAUGCGUCGGGAAAAGUUUUUCCCAACGCUUUUAUGAAGUUAUGCCGACGCUUAUGAAAAGCAUCGGGGAAUGUCUUAAAAAAACCAAAUCCCUAUUUUUCCAAAUCGUUCACAGAAGCGCCCCCACCCUCGCUCAACUUUUUGGCCUCUAAUCCCUAAUCCUUUUUUCCCAAAUCCUCUAUUGCUCUAUAUUUCUUUGCUGGCCACCGACCUUUUCUCCAGCCAACUUCGUUAAUCGUCUGUUGUCGCUUGCCUGCCGCCUCUCCCCUUCCUCCUUCGUGGUACACAGGUAAAACUUGAUGGUGUGGGAAGUGAAUCCAUAGCAUGUCAAAAGUAAGUGAGAUCAAUGCCUCUUACCUAUACACACGACUUAGUUUUGCUCUUCCUAUACAAAUAAAUUAAUACAAUCGAAUUCUUAUUUCCUAUUGUGGCUCAUUCAGUUGUUUUUGUCAUGAGAAGAAAAGACUUUUUUUCUGGCACUUGAUACAGAAAUUUGUUUCUCUGUAGUUUUUUUUUAUCACAAUAUUCUAUUUUUAGUAAUACCAAAGAUCUUUGCUUAGGUAGAGAAUCUCUCUCAUCUUGUAAUUAUUUCUAAUAUCUAAUUAAAAAAUAUCUGAGUACGAUUUAAGCAAGUGAAAUUAAGUUAAGUACUUGGUUUUAACUUCAUCCCAUAUCCUGUAACUGUAGCUUUUAUAUAUAUAUAUAUAUAUAUAAUAUGCAAUCUCUACUAAUAAAGUGUGGAACCAAUAUUCCAAACCUGUAUAAUGAGACUUGUUUAAGUUAAAUUGAUGAAGAAUUUUUACCUUGAAUUAUUAGAUGGGAAUAGUUUGUCUCUGCAAUUGCAAUAUUAGUUAGGAAUAGUUUGUCUCUAAAGUUGGAUUAAUGGGGGAUUCUGGAGAAGUUGUACAAAAAUUAGUUGGAAAUUUAACGAAAGAUUUCUUCCUCUUUUGUUAGGAUAACCAUACCUAAUGAAGAUUUCUUAGCUUUGAGGGAUGGUUUAAGUGCAUUAGGCUUGCCUCAAGGCACAUUCAAUUUCAAUUUUGCCUCCAUAGUUCACUUAGUUGCUGUUUAGCCACCUUUUUUUUUUUUUAUUACUUUCUACUUUCGAGGAGAUUUUAAGACACUUAGGUAGCUUCAAGUGGUGGUUUAUGUGCAUUAGACGCAUAAUGAUAGGAAAAAAAUAUAGAUCAAUCGAUCCUCCUGUAAGUUCUUCAAAUAGUUUUUCUCUUUCCAUAAGCUAAAAUCAUAUAAGUAAUAAUAACAAAGGAAUAAGUGAUAGAGAUAGAAAAGGCUCGCAUGGAUUAUACUGGUUCGCCCCAAUCUUGGUUCUACAUCCAAUCUUUUGCAAAAAGCACAGGUUCUACUAUAGUUAAUGUAUUAAAAUGGAGAUCUCACUUAAGAUAUCACUAUGCAAUGACUAUCUUGCUUCUAAGUAUCCUAACAAUGGCUACCUAGGAUUACACAAUUGAAAAACACCCUCACUAAACCCAAGGGAUAAAGACUCUUUUUCAGACACUACCCAAAACCACUCAAAUCUCUUUUAUUUGGAUUCUGUACAAAUAAAACCUUAACAAAACGACUGCAUUUAUAGGAAGCCAAAUAUACUAGUCCUUAUAGGAUAAUAAUAUUUUAAUCCUUAUAAGACAAAAAAUAUCCUACUCCUUGUAGAAAUUUGUAGUAGUGUUGAAAAUUUUUUUCCUCGUAGGACAUGAGUAAUCUGUUUUGGCUCUAUUAUCUCAACAAUCUCCCACUUGAGACAAAACAUCGAUUUUGGCUCCCAUUGCAACGACAAUCUCUGAUAAUCUUGGAAAACUCCAAGGCUUCUUCUGCAACAAUUUUUGAUCUUCCUGAAAAAUCUUUAAGGCUUUUCUUGCAAGUUUAAAAACUUGUAAAAUAUCAGAAAUUAUUGCUCCCAUCUGUCUUUACCCUGAGGUCGGCAAUCUACGUGGUCUUGUCUCCCAAAUGCAAAAGACAGCCACGUGCUCUCACUCAAACUAAGUGGCAAUAUCUAAAGCUUCCUUCUCCAUUCUCAAACAUUGAUUCUUGAAGAAAUAACUUCCAACUGAUGACUUCAGAACUCUAUUCAAGCGUGCUGCCAAAAUUGAAACUCCACUCUUUACCUCAACACCUACUAGGUUCUUCUUCUCUAAUGCAACUGUUCGCUAACGCGACUUCAUCAAUUCACCCAUUCGUCUGACAAUGGGGGAUAAUCCCUGACAACCUAAAGAACCUGUUUUUAUUUUUUGACUUCCUAAUUGUUGUUUUUGAAUUGAUGAGAGAUCUUCCUGAUCUGUUCUGGUUGUCUUUGUUGUUGGCUCAGUUCUACCUGUUUGGACACCAUCUGCAUCUUGCAUCCAUUGUCUCAAUGAUCCUCUGGCAACAUUCAAUUUCAAUGUGUAAAUUAUAGAUCUUCUGUGACCACCUGCCACUAAGUUGAAUCGUUUGGUGAGCUUUUACUGGUUCUCACCAAACUCACUCUGAUAACCAUCAUCGUCCAACUUACCUAUAGAGAUAAGACUCAUUCUGAUACUUGGUACAUACUUGACAUCUGGCAGUAAUAACUCAAUCCCACUAUUGGUCUUCAAUCAUAUAUUUCCAAUCCCUUAGUCCUGGAAAGCUUUCCAUUCCUCAUCCUCACGUGGCCGCGAUUGCCUCUCCUGAAAGAUGUGAAUGAUCUCCUAUUUGAAGAUAUGUGUACUAAAGUUUCGUUGUCUAUUACCCACUCUGAUGACUGAUUUCUUGUUUUCAUGUUGCUUUCAACACAAACGAGGGCAUCAUCCACAACUGCAUUUGCCUCUACCAUAAAUCUUUUCAGAUCCUCUUUUAAUAUUCUACAGUCUUUCUUAAUGUGGCUUUUCUUGUGUUAGUGAAAACAUUUGACCUCUUUCUUUCGAUUUCAUUUGCUAUACUUUUGCUGCCAAUCUUCAGUCGCAACCUUCUCUUAACCUUCUUGAACAGUCAAUGUUGAGUCUUGUUUGGAAGUAGACUAUUUUCUGAUCUCCUUCCUACGAAUUUCUUCAGCAAUUACCCUAUCACUAAUUUCUGAAAAUUUUAAAGAUUUUUCCCCUAACGAACUGGACACUGCUGUCUUCUUUGUUUCCCAACUUCCAGGUAAAGAUAUUAGUAACAAAAUAGCAUUCACUUUGUCACUAAAAGUAAUUGAUAAAGGAUCUACCUCAAUUAUGCUUGAGAAUUCCCUUAUUCAAGGUGACCUCAUAACAAUAAUAAGAAUAGCUCCAAUAGCUAGAAAGUACUUAAAACAUAUUUGUGCUUGGAAAGAUGAUCAAUGAUCAAGAAUAAAGGAGAACUUGAUCCUAUAUUCAAGAUUUCGAAGUCUCCACAACCUAAUCGAUUAAACUAGAUUGAAAGUUCUAAAACAUGCAUUCUAACACAAGAAUACAAAGAAAUCAUAGAGCUUGAGAGAGACUAAAUUCAAUCUGAAAUUUUCAUUCAUCAAAAUGUUGUGUUUGGAAAGCAAAUAUACAUCCAUAUUUAAAGUAAUUGAAAAGACACAAUGAAACUACACAACCCUGUGUCUAAC